rnacentral:rRNA from 1 species
AAUAAACGCUGGCGGCGUGCCUAACACAUGCAAGUCGAGCGAGAAAGCCUUUCGGGGUAAGUACAGCGGCGGACGGGUGAGAAACGCGUAAGAAUCUGCCCUAUAGUGAAGAAUACCUCCGAGAAAUCGGGGUUAAUACUGCAUAAGUCCCUUCGGGGAGAAAGAUGGCCUCUUUGCUGUCGCUAUUGGAUGAGCUUGCGUACUAUUAGCUAGUUGGUGGGGUAAAGGCCUACCAAGGCGAUGAUGGUUAACCGGCCUGAGAGGGUGUUCGGUCACAUUGGAACUGAGAAACGGUCCAGACUCCUACGGGAGGCAGCAGUGGGGAAUAUUGCGCAAUGGGCGAAAGCCUGACGCAGCGACGCCGCGUGAAGGAUGAAGGUCUUCGGAUUGUAAACUUCUGUUAAGUGGGAAAAAAGCACCAUUCCUAAUACGAAUGGUGGAUGAUGGUACCACUAGAGAAAGCACCGGCUAAUCUCGUGCCAGCCGCCGCAGUAAGAC